UAGGAAAUUAAGGGCGUAUGGUGGAUGCCUUGACUCCAAAUGGCGAUGAAGGACGCGGCAUGGCGGCGAUAUGCUUCGGGGAGGUGCCAAGCAACCUUUGAUCCGAAGAUUUCCGAAUGGGGAAACCCCUUUGAGCAAUCCUCAAAGACCGCGCAUUGCGCGGAGCUCACCCAGGGAAGUGAAACAUCUCAGUACCUGGAGGAAUAGAAAGCAAAUCGCUUUGCUUUUUAUCCGGUUCGCUAAAGGCGAAAUUGUCUGUUGAUCGCAAGUGAGAUAGGCAAUAGGGAAGUAGCGUUAUGUUAUUUCCUGCCCGAUAAAAAGCAAAGUUGUGAUUCCCCGAGUAGCGGCGAGCGAAACGGGAAGAGCCCAAACCUCGUAUUUUUAAAAUGCGGGGGGUUGUAAGACAGAAGCGUCGGAUAACCGGAGAGAGUUACAAAAUGUCGUUAUAGUGGAACACGCUGGAAAGCGCGGCCAUAGACGGUGAUAGCCCCGUACGCGAAAUGGCGACAUCUCUCUUGCUUCUGAUCUUGAGUACUUCGGGACAUGAAUAGCCCGGGGGAAGCAGGCAGAACUAACUGCCAAGGCUAAAUACAUUUGGAGAUCGAUAGUGAACGAGUACCGUGAGGGAAAGGUGAAAAGAACCCCGGAGAGGGGAGUGAAAUAGACCUGAAACCAUAUGCCUACAAGGAAUCGGAGCCCUGGCCUUGCGCCGGGGUGACGGUGUUCCUAUUGAAGAAUGAGCCAACGAGUUUAUGCAUGUCGCAGGCUAAGCCGAGACCGGUGGAGCCGUAGGGAAACCGAGUGUGAAUAGCGCGCCUAUUGUGAUAUGCAUAAGACCCGAAGCCGAGUGAGCUUACCAUGAGCAGGGUGAACCCCGACGAAAGUCGGGGGAAGGCCCGAACCGGUUGGCUGUGCAACACCAUCGGAUGACUUGUGGUAAGGAGUGAAAAGCUAAUCGAACUCGGUAAUAGCUGGUUCUCUCCGAAAUCGCUUUUGGGCGAGCGUCGUGUGUUCCUGCCGGGGGUAGAGCACUGGCAGGGUUGAACAGGGAGCAAUCUCGUCAACCCUCUCAAACUCCGAAUACCGGUAGUUAUAGCACGGCAGUUAGACUGUGGGCGCGAAGGUCCAUCGGUCAAAAGGGAAAGAGCCCAGACCUCAAUCUAAGGUCCCUAAAUUGGCACUCAGUGCACGUAAGGAUGUGGAAUUUCUCCGACAAUCAGGAGGUUGGCUUAGAAGCAGCCAUCCUUUAAAGAAAGCGUAACAGCUCACUGAUCAAGAGAUUCCGCGCCGCAGAUGAUCGGGGCUUAAGUGUCGUACCGAAGAUGAGGAUUCGUCGUCUUUUCGAAGACGGCGAGUGGUAGGAGAGUAUUCGUGUCUGCACUGAAGGCAAAGGGUAACCUUUGCUGGAGCGGCACGAAGUAAGAAUGUUGGCACGAGUAACCGCAAUCCCGGUGAAAUACCGGGACGCCGAAAGAUCAAGGUUUCCUUCGCAAUGGUAAUCAGCGAAGGGUUAGUCGGUCCUAAGCCGAUGGCGAAAGCUGAAGGCGAUGGACACACGGUUAAUAUUCCGUGACUUCUCUAUAGUGCGAAGGGAGGACGGAGUCUAGUAUGCCUAGCGCAUUAUUGGAUUUGUGUUUGUACUCUUAGAAGGGCUUCUAGGAAAAUCCGGAAGCACGCCUUCGGGCAUCCUUUAAGGAGAGCAAAAACUCUUUGGUACGCCGAAGAGGAUUAGGCAAAGCAGGCUUCCGAGAAAAGUCUCUAAGCAUAACUAUAGGGGAUCCGUACCGCAAACCGACACAGGUGAUCAGGUCGAGAAGACCAAGGCGAACGGGUGAGUGUCCCCCAAGGAACUCGGCAAAAAAGUGGCCGUAACUUCGGGAUAAGGCCUUCCCACACUUCACGGUGUGGGACGCAGCGAAAGUUUUCCUGGCGACUGUUUAUCAAAAACACAGCUCCCUGCGAACUCGCAAGAGGAUGUAUAGGGGGUGACGCCUGACCAAUGCCAGAAGGUCAAAUAUCGGCUGUACUCUUUGUCUUUGACGAGGAGUGCCGACUGAUAUAAGCCCUGGUGAAUGUCGGCCGUAACUAUAACGGUCCUAAGGUAGCGUAAUUCCUUGUCGGGUAAGUUCCGACGUGCACGAAUGGCGUAACGACUGGGAAACUGUCUCGGGGGAGAGCCCGGUGAAAAUGCAAUACCGGUGAAGACGCCGGUUACCCGCAGCAGGACAGAAAGACCCCGGAAGCUUUACUGCAGCUUGAUAUUGGUUGUGUUUUCUCACUGCGUAGCAUAGGUGGGAGGCUUUGAAGCAUCGAUUUUGGUUGAUGUGGAGCCGUCAGUGAAAUACCACUCUGUGUGGAGGCACAUUCUAACCCGGCGGGCAAAACCCGUUGGAGACAGUAUUUGGCAGGUAGUUUGAGUGGGGCGCUCUCCUCCUAAAAAGUAACGGAGGAGUCUAUUAAGGUCGGCUAGGCGCGAAUGGAAACCGUGCCGAUAGUGUAAUGGCAGAAGCCGGCUUAACUGUGAGGGGUACAUCCCAAACAGGCGCGAAAGCGGAGCAUAGUGAACCGAUGGUCCGUGUUAGAGACGGCCAGAGAUUAACGGAUAAAAGCUACUCCGGGGAUAACAGGCUGGUACCGCCCAAGAGUUCAUAUCGACGGCGGUGUUCGGCACCUCGAUGUCGGCUCACCUUAUCCUGGGGCUGAAGAAGGUCCCAAGGGUUUGGCUGUUCGCCAAUUAAAAAGGUACGCGAGCUGGGUUCAAACCGUCGUGAGACAGGUUGGUUCUCUAUCCGCUGCGGGCGUUGAUUCUUGAGAGGAGUCAUUCCUAGUACGAGAGGACCGGAAUGAACUGACCUCUGGUCUGGGAGCUGUCGCGCCAGCGGCACCGCUCCGUAGCUAUGUCGGGAAUGGAUAACCGCUGAAAGCAUCUAAGCGGGAAGCCAACCUCAAGAUUAGGAAUCGUUAAGACCCGUGAGAGACGAUCACGUUGAUAGGCACUAGGUGGAAGCGCAGUAAUGCGUUGAGCCGAGGUGUACUAAUUCGUCGAUC
rnacentral:rRNA from 1 species